rnacentral:rRNA from 1 species
AUCGAACGCUGGCGGCAGGCCUAACACAUGCAAGUCGAGCGAGCGGCGGACGGGUGAGUAAUGCCCGGGAAUCUGCCUGAUGGAGGGGGAUAACUACUGGAAACGGUAGCUAAUACCGCAUACCAUCGGAUGUGCCCAGAUGGGAUUAGGUAGUAGGUGGGGUAACGGCUCACCUAGGCGACGAUCCCUAGCUGGUCUGCGAGGAUGACCAGCCACACUGGAACUCAGACACGGACCAGACUCCUACGGGAGGCAGCGGUGGGGAAUAUUGCACAAUGGGCGCAAGCCUGAUGCAGCCAUGCAGCGUGUGUGAAGAAGGCCUUCGGGUUGUAAAGCACUAUAAGCGGGGAGGCGUUACCCGCAGAAGAAGCACCGGCUAACUCCGUGCCAGCAGCCGCGGUAAUUC